GCUCUCCCUCCUCUCUCCCAUGCCAAAAGUAGCAUCGUUACGAACGUAUGCUGACAUGCACCGCAUUUAUAUACUCUUUGUGGUGAAAUAUCAAAAGAUUCACUUGGUCCCACGAUUUCUUUUACCCGAAUGUGUAAUGCCUGUGAAGAGGAAAGCUUCAGCGGCCCAGAAAGGCAAGUCUGUGGUUGGUAGGAGAGCUGGACAAGUACCACCGGUCGAGAUAAUGGAGGGUGAGUCCCAGAAUGAGGUUCCAUAUCGGUCCUCUUAUACUCCGCCUGAUCCAGAGGAGCUCCAGCCCCAACUCCAGCUCCAGCACCCGCAGUUCCUCCGCCGGAUGCCUCAGGCCUGGAGAUGAGAGAGGCAAUUCAGUUACAGUUAGUAGUUGUUCAAGCCCAGCGACAGGGUACGGGUCAUGGUGAUAGGGCUGUUAGUGCCAGAGUUUGAGAUUUUAUUAAUUUAGACCCUCCAGAAUUCUUUGGGUUGAGUUAGUUGAGGACCCACAGAACUUUAUAGAUGGGAUGUUGAGGACAUUACGGGUGAUGCAUGCUUCAGACAUUGAGUCAGUGGAAUUGGCUUCCUAUAGAUUACGGAAUGUUAUCGUUCAUUGGUAUGAGACUUGGGUGUCGUCCAGAGGGGUUAAUGCAGCUCCACCCGUGUGGCAGGAGUUCGUAGAUGCCUUUGUUCGACAUUAUUUGCUACCAGAGGUUUGACGGGCCAGAGCUAAUAGAUUCUUGAAUCUUAAACAUGGGAACAUGAGUGUUCGGGAGUACAACGUCCAUUUUAAUUCAUUAGCUAGGUGUGCUCCAGCUAUGGUACCUAACAUGGGAGAUCGUGUGACCAUAUUUGAUUGAUGACUGCUUGACGGCCUAACUUCAGAGAGGUAUGGAUAUCUCCCGCAUUCAGGCGCACGCCCAGAAUCUUGAGAAGCAUCAGCAGCAGCGAAAGGUGAAGCGUGAGCAUGAUAGGGGUUAUAGUAAGAAAGCUAGAUCUUUCGGUGUUGUUACUGAGUUCAGAGGGUGUCAGAGGCUGCAAUAUUCUAGACACUCAAGCCCUUCAGCGGCUAGUGCACCUCCGCGAUUUGCAGGUCAGAGAUUUAAUCGAUUUAUUUAUUUAGGACCGAGUCAGGUUUCUAGAGCUUCAGGUUCUCAAUAUAAAGGUGAUUCAGGCCAGAUGAGUCAGCCUUUAUCAUGAUGUACUCAGUGUGGUAAGCUACAUUCUGGACAGUGUCACUUGAGUUCAGAUGCUUGUUAUGUCUGCGGUCAGCCAGGUCAGAUUAUGCGUGAGUAUCCAUCGAGGGGUGGUAGAGGUGUAGUUCAGCCUAUCGAAUUAACAGCUGGUUCGUCAUCAUCGGUACGCCCUCCAGGGCAAGGCUCUCAAAUAUCAGCAGGACGUGGUAGAGGCAGAGGGGGAGCGUCCAGCUCGACCGGUCCUCAGAACCGCAUUUAUACACUGGCUGGACGAUAGGAUCUUGAGUCUUCGGCUGAUGUGGUUAGAGGUAGACAGGGUGACGGAUCAGACCCUUAGACUGGUUCCUCGGUAUUUGUACAGGAGCACUCCACUUGUUCCAAAGCUGCAGUUCAGUUGGUACGAUUUUUUUGUGCAUAUAUAUAAGCAUGGCAGGGUCCUGUCCCUUCCUUAUGACGUUAUGCACUCUAUGUACAGGCUCGUAGAUAGAUAUAUGCAGUUAGAUGUUCUGUGACCUUCUUGGUCCCUGUUGUGUUGUAUCUUUGUUUUGGUAGCCUUGUCGCUUGAGAACUUGAAACCAGUUUGAUGAAGGAUAUGUAUGUAUAUAUUUUUUGGGCUUGUGUCCCUUACG